rnacentral:rRNA from 1 species
UCCCAGACUCCUACGGGAGGCAGCAGUGGGGAAUAUUGCACAAUGGGGGGAACCCUGAUGCAGCGAUGCCGCGUGGAGGAAGAAGGUUUUCGGAUUGUAAACUCCUUUUAUCAGGGACGAUAAUGACGGUACCUGAAGAAAAAGCUCCGGCUAACUACGUGCCAGCAGCCGCGGUAAUACGUAGGGAGCGAGCGUUGUCCGGAAUUACUGGGCGUAAAGGGCGCGUAGGUGGGUGCUUAAGUCAGGUGUGAAAACUCUGGGCUCAACCUGGAGACUGCACUUGAAACUGGGUAUCUUGAGGGCAGGAGAGGAAAGUGGAAUUCCUAGUGUAGCGGUGAAAUGCGUAGAUAUUAGGAGGAACACCAGUGGCGAAGGCGACUUUCUGGACUGUACCUGACGCUGAGGCGCGAAAGCGUGGGUAGCGAACGGGAUUAGAUACCCCCGUACAC